rnacentral:rRNA from 1 species
UACGAGGGAUGCAAGCGUUAUCCGGAAUUAUUGGGCGUAAAGCGUUUGUAGGCGGGCGAGUGUGUUUAAUGUUAAAUCUUAAAGCUCAACUUUGAAAUUGCGUUAAAAACUGCUUGUCUUGAGUAUGGUAGGGGUAAAGGGAAUUCCCAGUGUAGCGGUGAAAUGCGUAGAUAUUGGGAAGAACACUAAACAGCGAAGGCACUUUACUAGGCUAAUACUGACGCUGAGAAACGAAAGGUAAGGUAGCGAAACGGAUUAGAUACCCGUGUAGUCUUACCCGUAAACUAUGGACACUAACGGUAAAUUUUUAAUUUACUGUUAAAGCUAACGCGUUAAGUGUCCCGCCUGGGGAGUAUGCUUGCAAAAGUGAAACUCAAAGGAAUUGACGGGGGCCCGCACAAGCGGUGGAGCAUGUGGUUUAAUUCGACGGUACACGAAGAACCUUACCAGGAUUUGACAUGCUAGAUAGUUGCUUGAAAGAGUAACGUGCCGUAAGGAAUCUAGACACAGGUGGUGCAUGGCUGUCGUCAGUUCGUGUUGUGAAAUGUUGGGUUAAGUCCCGCAACGAACGCAACCCUUGUCUUUAGUUAUUUUCUAAAGAGACUGCCUGUAAUAAACAGGAGGAAGGUAAGGAUGAGGUCAAGUCAUCAUGCCCCUUAUGUCCUGGGCUACACACGUGCUACAAUGGGAAAGACAAUGAGCUGCAAAUCUGUAAAUUUAAGCAAAUCUCUUAAACUUUCUCGUAGUUCGGAUUGUGGGCUGCAACUCGCCCACAUGAAGUUGGAAUCGCUAGUAAUCGCCAGUCAGCUAUAUGGCGGUGAAUCCGUUCCCGGGCCU